UACGUAGGUGGCAAGCGUUGUCCGGAUUUACUGGGCGUAAAGAGCGCGCAGGCGGUCGAGUAAGUCGAAUGUGAAAGCCCCGAGCUUAACUUGGGAACUGCGCUCGAAACUACUUGGCUAGAGUGUGGCAGAGGGAGGUGGAAUUCCACGUGUAGCGGUGAAAUGCGUAGAGAUGUGGAGGAACACCGAUGGCGAAGGCAGCCUCCUGGGCCAACACUGACGCUCAUGCACGAAAGCGUGGGGAGCAAACAGG
rnacentral:rRNA from 1 species